rnacentral:rRNA from 1 species
CACGUAGGGUGCGAGCGUUGUCCGGAAUUAUUGGGCGUAAAGAGCUCGUAGGCGGUGUGUCGCGUCGGCCGUGAAAACCUGCAGCUUAACUGUGGGCUUGCGGUCGAUACGGGCAUCACUGGAGUUCGGCAGGGGAGACUGGAAUUCCUGGUGUAGCGGUGAAAUGCGCAGAUAUCGGGAGGAACACCCGUAGCGAAGGCGGCACUCUGGGCCGUGACUGACGCUGAGGAGCGAAAGCGUGGGGAGCAAACAGG